rnacentral:rRNA from 1 species
UACGAAGGGGGCUAGCGUUGCUCGGAAUGACUGGGCGUAAAGGGCGCGUAGGCGGAUGGCACAGUCAGAUGUGAAAUUCCCGGGCUUAACCUGGGGGCUGCAUUUGAUACGUGUUGUCUAGAGUGAGGAAGAGGGUUGUGGAAUUCCCAGUGUAGAGGUGAAAUUCGUAGAUAUUGGGAAGAACACCAGUGGCGAAGGCGGCUCACUGGCCCGAUACUGACGCUGAGGCACGAAAGCGUGGGGAGCAAACAGG